UACGUAGGGGGCAAGCGUUGUCCGGAAUCAUUGGGCGUAAAGAGCGUGUAGGCGGCUCGAUUAGUCCGCUGUAAAAGUCCAGGGGCUCAACCCCUGGGGAUGCCGGUGGAAACUGUCGGGCUAGAGUCCGGGAGAGGCGAGUGGAAUUCCUGGUGUAGCGGUGAAAUGCGCAGAUAUCAGGAGGAACACCAAUGGCGAAGGCAGCUCGCUGGAACGGUACUGACGCUGAGACGCGAAAGCGUGGGGAGCAAACAGG
rnacentral:rRNA from 1 species